AUUGAACGCUGGCGGCAGGCUUAACACAUGCAAGUCGAGCGGAGAUGAGGUGCUUGCACCUUAUCUUAGCGGCGGACGGGUGAGUAAUGCUUAGGAAUCUGCCUAUUAGUGGGGGACAACAUUCCGAAAGGAAUGCUAAUACCGCAUACGUCCUACGGGAGAAAGCAGGGGAUCUUCGGACCUUGCGCUAAUAGAUGAGCCUAAGUCGGAUUAGCUAGUUGGUGGGGUAAAGGCCUACCAAGGCGACGAUCUGUAGCGGGUCUGAGAGGAUGAUCCGCCUCAAUGGGACUGAGACACGGACCAGACUCCUACGGGAGGCAGCAGUGGGGAAUAUUGGACAAUGGGGGGAACCCUGAUCCAGCCAUGCCGCGUGUGUGAAGAAGGCCUUAUGGUUGUAAAGCACUUUAAGCGAGGAGGGGGCUACUGAGACUAAUACUCUUGGAUAGUGGACGUUACUCGCAGAAUAAGCACCGGCUAACUCUGUGCCAGCAGCCGCGGUAAUAC
rnacentral:rRNA from 1 species